AGGAAACACAUCUCAUUUGGGCUCGUUAUAAUUUUCUUUGUAGGAGGAAAAACAGACAACUGUAACUGGAAAUGUGGUGUGCAUACAUCUGAAUCCCAAAAUAAAUUUUACAAGUGGUCUCUGUGGGACAGUCAAGGUUCAGUCACAGGCUCAUAGACGUCACUAAACAGAUCCUGCUGUGCUGCUCUCACUGUGGAUGACUGCCAAGUGCCGUGGAGUUUGAACACUAAUUGGGCCAGCAGGAGCCGAAAGAUGCAGACUGAUCCAAAGGUCCCAGUCCCUCACUGUGACGUACAUGAUGGGAGUCAAAUCAAUGAGAUGAGGCUGAAUCAAUGAGAUGUCAGUGUUGUCUUAUCAUUGCCUUUUGAAGCUUAAUGAUGAUCUCGCAG